rnacentral:lncRNA from 1 species
CCACCUCGGGGCUGCGGCUUUUGGGGACACGGCCACGGUGACCUGGGAGUGCCUCUGGGGUGGCCACGGAGCCACGGACAUGGAGGGGACACCCACGGGGGGACACGGGAGCACCAGGAUGGACCUGGAUGGACCCAGGAGCCCUGGAUGGAACUUCUGUGGGGUCCAGGAACAUCCUGGAUGGAUCUGGAAUGUCCUGGAUGGACCUGGGAGCUCCCGGGGUCACCUGGCUGGACCUUGUGGGGGUCCAGGUGACCAUGGGGACACCCUGGAUGGAGCUGAGACCGCCUGGAUACACCCGGGGACAUCCUGGAUGGGCCUUGGGGACAGGGCCGGGGUUUCAUUCAUGGGGACAUCCUGGUGGCACCUUCUGGGGAGGCUCAUUGGGGACAGGGACCUCUGGGGACAGGAGAGGUGGCCCAGGGGACGCGUGGGGACAUCCUGGGGGUCCCUGAGCCUUACGGGGGACACGGGGACAGUCCGGGGGUGGCCUUAGGGGGGGUGGGGGUGUCCCCUCCCCCUGCCGGUGUCCCCUGCCCCUCCCCCCCACGUUGGGGACAGAGCUGUCCCCGCCCCUCCCCCCAGGGCUGCCCCUCCCCCCGCACUCAGGAAGGCCCCGGUAUGGGUGGGGGAGGGGCGGGGCCGGGGGUGGGGCCUCCCUUCCCCCCAUUUCUGUCCUGCUGUAGCCCCGCCCCGGGCACCGCCCCUGGGUGCGGGGACACUGGGGGGAGGGGCCAAGCCCAGGCCACGCCCCCUCUGCGUUGGAUUUUCCAGGUUCUGAUUAAAAACUUUCCAGAAAGAUCCGCGGGCUCUGCGUGGUGCUGGGGGGCCGGGCCCAGUAAAAACCAGUGCUCCCAGUAUGGACCAAUGAUCCCAGUAUGGAACAGGGAUCCCAGUAUGAACCAGUGCUCCCAGUAUGGACCAAUGAUUCCAGUAUGAACCAGUGCUCCCAGUAUGAACCAGUGCUCCCAGUAUGGACCAAUGAUUCCAGUAUGGAACAGGGAUCCCAGUAUGAACCAGUGCUCCCAUUACAAACCAGUGCUCCCAGUCCAAACCAGUCCCUCCCAGCACUCCCGGUGCCGCACGCGCAGCCUCUGUACUAAAAUA